rnacentral:rRNA from 1 species
CAGUCGCCGCGGUAAUACGAAGGGGGCUAGCGUUGUUCGGAUUUACUGGGCGUAAAGGGCGCGUAGGCGGACUGAUAAGUCAGGGGUGAAAUCCCAAGGCUCAACCUUGGAACUGCCUUUGAUACUGUUUGUCUUGAGUUCGAGAGAGGUAAGUGGAACUGCGAGUGUAGAGGUGAAAUUCGUAGAUAUUUGUAGGAAUGCCGAUGGGGAAGCCAACUUACUGGACAGAUACUGACGCUAAAGCGCGAAAGCGUGGGUAGCAAACAGGAUUAGAUACCCCUGUAGUCCCUGUCUCUUAUAC